rnacentral:rRNA from 1 species
GAUGAACGCUGGCGGCGUGCUUAACACAUGCAAGUCGAGCGGAAAGGCCACUUCGGUGGUACUCGAGCGGCGAACGGGUGAGUAACACGUGAGUAAUCUGCCCUUGGCUUUGGGAUAGCCACCGGAAACGGUGAUUAAUACCGGAUAUGACCACUCUAGGCAUCUAGUGGUGGUGGAAAGUUUUUCGGCCAGGGAUGUGCUCGCGGCCUAUCAGCUUGAUGGUGAGGUAAUGGCUCACCAUGGCUUCGACGGGUAGCCGGCCUGAGAGGGUGACCGGUCACAGUGGGACUGAGACACGGCCCAGACUCCUACGGGAGGCAGCAGUGGGGAAUAUUGGACAAUGGGCGGAAGCCUGAUCCAGCAACGCCGCGUGAGGGAUGACGGCCUUCGGGCUGUAAACCUCUUUCGGUAGGGACGAAGCGUGAGUGACGGUACCUACUAAAGAAGCACCGGCCAACUACGUGCCAGCCGCCGCCGUAACAC